UACGUGUUCCCGAGAGUGCCCAGGAUAGUGAAGGUUCUACUACGUGAAAUCGUAUAACCGGCGCAUGAAUGCGCACCGCCUAUGGCGGUUCCGUCCAAGUCCAGAUACAUGUAGAAAGUCCUCAGGCCUCAACGUCGGUAACUGCAAUGCGAGAUCUGGCUAAGCCUAAGAUAGCCUCCAGAAAGGCGCUAGCCAAUACCGAGGGGCGUACCCGGUGAAAUCGGCGAUAGAGAUAUCCUGGACGUGGAUCUCCGAUGGGGGAUACGCAAUCUCGCUUGGACACACAACUGAUUGCUCACAGUGACGAAAUACGGUGGUGGAUCCAAGCAGGACUGAGAUUAGCCUGGUAGUUCACUCCAGAAAAUCGAUGUCGUCUUCGCAGCUAGUGCCCGUGAGCCGUGGCCUCCGGAACUAACCGCGUUCAAGUCGACUCUAGGGAGUACGCCGGCAAAGUCAAAGUCAUAUGAAUCGACGGGGACCGCACAAGCGGUUGGAGCAUGUGGUUUAAUUCGAUGCUACGCGAAGAACCUUACCUACUCUCGACAUCCAGAGAACUUAGCAGAGAUGCUUUGGUGCCUUCGGGAACUCUGAGACAGAUGCUGCAUGGCUGUCGUCAGCUCCUGUUGUGAAAUGUUGGGUUAAGUCCCGCAGCGAGCGCAACCUUAUCCUUUGUUGCCAGCGGUUAGGCCGGGAACUCAAAGGAGACUCCCAGUGAUAAUCUGGAGGAAGGUGGGGAUGACGUCAAGUCAUCAUGGCCCUUACGAGUAGGGCUACACACGUGCUACAAUGGCGCAUACAAAGAGAAGCGCCCUCGCGAGAGCAAGCGGACCUCAUAAAGUGCGUCGUAGUCCGGAUUGGAGUCUGCAACUCGACUCCAUGAAGUCGGAAUCGCUAGUAAUCGUGGAUCAGAAUGCCACGGUGAAUACGUUCCCGGGCCUUGUACACACCGCCCGUCACUCCAUGGGAGUGGGUGCAAAAGCAGUACUACUAGCCUAUACCGGCUACUAGAUGCACCGUAACCCCAA
rnacentral:rRNA from 1 species